rnacentral:lncRNA from 1 species
UAUCUCAAUCUAAUAUAAACAAUUCUAAUAUAAACAAUUUUCCUUUUUAAAAAGAAAAGAAUGAAAAAAAAUUUAAUAAUCGAAUAAUAAAAGCAAAGUAUUUGUGUGGUGGCUCAAACGAAAAGUUAGGUUAUUUGCUCUUUCUACGACGAACCAGUGCUUACAUCAACAUCAUUUCACGGAAAUGUAACCUUAUGCCAGUUACAACGUUUGCAAAGAUUUGAUAUACAAUAAUGAAAAAAUAAAAGUGGAGAAAUAAGUAACAUUCUAUUGCUGAACUUUGGAACUUAGUUGGGCCAAUAGCCAACAGUUGCGCCACCAUCAUUUUAAACAAAAGUGGGGAGAACUUUCGCAUUGAGUCAUAAGUUUCUUCGAGGAUUCUUCGAGGAAAGGAAUCGAAUUUAUCCGAAGCUCGGACAACCGAUUCUACCCGAUGUAACGAGAGCGUAACGACAUUGGCCGGACCAUAGAGCACCACGGUGACUUUAACCUAGUUAAUGAUAACGCGAAAAUCAAGUUAAACGACCCUCACUAUUUACUCCCUUCUCACCCAUGGACACACUGCCAGGAUGCACUUAAUUACUAGGCUCUCUCGAUUCGCUCUAGUGCCAAUACUGUUUAAAGUAAUUUUUUGUUUAAUAUAAUUCGAUUUCCUUUUUUUUUUUUUUUUUUUUCUUUCGAUAUCGACCUCGCGAAUCAACUUUUGAUUAUCGACGAUGCAAAAUAAAAAAAAAAAA